GUAGAUAAAAGUUGGUUAAAAAAUUUCAACUUUUAAAUGUAGAAUAUUCGAGAAAUUGUAUUCGAGGAAUUGUAGAAUAUUAACUUUCAACUGAGAAUCGUAAUUCUUUAAUUUUUACAUUAAAUGAAUUUAGUAACGAAGAUUCACUUAAGGCUAAAGAUUGACCAAAUAUUUACUUAAAUCUUUCUUUAUAUCAAAAUUAAGGGAUGUGUACGCUAUAUAUAAAAAAGAAUACUUUACCAUAAUGAAAUUUUAAGCGCUGUUAUAAAAUAUAUUCAUAUGCUCUAUUGUUAUUAAAUACAUUACUAAAAAUAAGUUAUUGUUUAAUAUUUUUUAAGUCCAAUCCAUCAUCCUGAUAGAAGUGACUGUCGACUGGAAGCGUACGGGGGCAGAAACUGGCAAUUAUCGCAAUUGAACAUGUCUCUUAAACUAUUUAUCUUCAAAAAUUCCAUAUAGGAGAGAACGAGACAGUAUUAAGUAACCGUUGCAUCCAUUCCCUGAGCAAAAGACAAUCAUUGUCUUUUAAGGAGUCUUUAUCUGUGGAAACUGAGGCAAAACUGAUUCGGAAAUAACAACAGAGCUGAGAGUAAAACCGAAAAAGUGAUAUAGCUGUAAAACACAACUUAGAAGAUCGUCCCCUUUGAACAAGAUCAUCUAAGGAGAGGAGCACAUACACUGAUUGAGUAAGUUGCCCAGGACUUCUUUAAUCACAAAAUUGAAUUUGGAGAUGGAAUACCAACGGAUGUUACUGCAAAGCCAUAUUAUGAAGCACUAAAAGGAAGUUUAUCUUCAAUUUUAAAUACUCAUAAGAAUGUGUGCUACAAGGGAAAUACUUACGAAAUCGGUUUUUAUUGUGGUAUCCAAAAUAGUAGAGAUAUUUUCGAAAUAAUAGAAAUAUUCAGUAUAGAUAAAAAAUGCUUUUGUAUUUGCACCAAGUGGAAAACUACUUUUUGUAAUAAGUUCCAAUCUCAUGAAGUAGAGAAAACAACAGAAAAUAUAGUAAUUGAUGUCGAUGAAAUUUCCACAUUUCCACUUCAUGUAUAUAUGU